GACGAACGCUGGCGGCGUGCUUAACACAUGCAAGUCGAACGGAAAGGCCCUGCUUUUGUGGGGUGCUCGAGUGGCGAACGGGUGAGUAACACGUGUGUAACCUGCCCUUGACUUUGGGAUAACUUCAGGAAACUGGGGCUAAUACCGGAUAGGAGCUCCUGCUGCAUUGUGGGGGUUGGAAAGUUUCGGCGGUUGGGGAUGGACUCGCGGGUUAUCAGCUUGUUAGUUGGGUAGUGGCUUACCAAGGCUUUGACGGGUAGCCGGCCUGAGAGGGUGAACGGCGACAAUGGGACUGAGGUACGGACCAGACUCCUACGGGAGGCAGCAGGGGGGAGUAUUGCACAAUGGGCGGAAGCCUGAUGCAGCAACGCCGCGUGCGGGAUGACGGCCUUCGGGUUGUAAACCGCUUUCGCCUGUGACGAAGCGUGAGUGACGGUAAUGGGUAAAGAAGCACCGGCUAACUACGUG
rnacentral:rRNA from 1 species